rnacentral:rRNA from 1 species
CAAUACAACUCUUAACGGUGGAUCACUCGGCUCGUGGGUCGUGGGUCGAUGAAGACCGCAGCAAGCUGCGUGUCGGUAUGUGAAUCGCAAGAAUACCAGAUACAUCGACAAGUCGAACGCACAUUGCGGCGGCGGCACUCUCAUGUGCUGCCGUCACUCCUACACGAGGGUC